ncrna:unclassified sequences skipping-rope RNA
GUCUUUCGAGGUGAAAAUUGCGUCCUCACGCGCCGCGUGCUGUGUGCAACGGGCAAAAGAGAUACCGGGGGUGACGCGCCGGUCGAAAGAG